rnacentral:misc_RNA from 1 species
AAAAUACUAGUCCAUCUUUGUUGUAAGCACUUUGGCCGUUUUCAAACCUUUCUGGCUUGUACUCAAAUGGUUCUGGAAAAUAUUUCUCGUCAAAAUGCAGCCCAAACAUAGGAAUAUAUACCGGCAGGCCUUUUUCAAUCACCAAAUCAGAAUUUGGUAUUUUGUAUUCCGUAUUGCAUCGACGAUCCAAGAAUGGUAGUACUGGGUACAUCCUGAG